GAUGAAUAUAGAUCUAUUAAACAAUAUCCUGAACCUUAUACACCCCAGGAGUCCACUGGAAGUUCAUUGUGAAGGAUGAAUAUAGAUCUAUUAAACAAUAUCCUGAACCUUAUACACCCCAGGAGUCCACUGGAAGUUCAUUGUGAAGGAUGAAUAUAGAUCUAUUAAACAAUAUCCUGAACCUUAUACACCCCUGGAGUCUAUUGUUGAUCUUGAAAUGAUUGGUCGUUUGGAGGAGGAGGAGAUAGAAAUAUUCCGAUCUGAUGAUGUAAUUCAAGAAACAAACUUUUAUCAAAUAUUUCAGGUUCGAAAUCAUGA